rnacentral:lncRNA from 1 species
ACACCUGCUCAUCAUGUGACCUGGUGGAUGGCUGGACCCGGAUUUGGGCACAAUUGUAACCCUAAGAUGGGUAACGGGGACUCAAUUGUUGGAAUGGUAUUGAAACCUUCCCUGGAACACUUGUGCAUUUCUCGCAAGAAUAUAAAAUGAUGUAGCUGCCUUUUGAAACUGUUUGGCAUCUAAUCAACUAAACAGAGUCACUACUGUAUGGCCCAGGAACCCCACUCCUGGGUAUUUAUCUAAAGGAAUAAAAACCUUGACUCCCCACAAAAAUCUCUACACAACUGUUUAUAAAAGAAUUGUAACAGUAGCUCCAAAUCGACUUUGAAUAAAGAAAAUGUGGUCUACUUUUACAAUGGACUGUCACUUCAAAACAGGAAUGAAGUAUGGAUUCCCGAACUGCCAUCAGAGAGACCUUGGAUAGAUUGCACUCUGUGAAAGAAGUGGACUCAGAAGGUCACGCACUGUCUAAUCUGCCUUAUGUGAAAGGUCCAGAAUAGGCAACUCUGCAGAUGCAGGAAGCAGGAAGCUGUGCCAGACCUGGGGGGAAGGUGUGAGAAGGAAGUGAAGUGAGUGUGAAUUGGCUGCUGCUGCUUUGGAAGUGACCAAGAUGUUCUGGAAUAGUGAUGACAUCUAAGCCCUGGAAUGAAUCAAAGCCCACCAGGGUGAAUUUUAUGGCCUGAGAAUUUCAUCUCAAUAAAACAUUUUUGUUUGUUCUGUGUGCUAUGCAGGGAGCUGGGGUGAUUGACCACGGCAAGGCUUAGUAUCCAGUGUUGUAUUUAACAUUGUUUUUUUUUUAAACCUACUUAAACUUUAGUUUCCAUGUUUUUUUGGGGUAGGUAGGGGCUAGGAGUUAAAGCUAGGGUCUUGAGCUUGCUAAGUGUGGGGGUCCUACCCUAAGCCACCACCCCUCCAGCUCGUCUCCUUUUCUGGGAGUUAGGUGAUAAUACCAAUUCUGGACAUUUUUAUGAAUAUUAAAUGAAAACUAUAUGCAAAUUAUUUUGAGGAGUCGAUAGGGAGGCAGAGGCAGGCAGAUUUCUGAUUUCAAGGCCAGCCUGGUCUAAAAAGUGAGUUCCUGGACAAC